UUUUCUAACUUGUCUUCUUUUAAUGAACAGAAUCAUUGAUUUUAGCCACAUUUGAAAUUUGCUCUUAAUUAAAGGACUUUUCUUCACUAGUCCCUUAGAAAACAACCCAACAUAUUGCUCUGAUUUGUAUCAUGGGUACAGAUCAGCACUUUUUUCCCCUCUUUUCUGCCAAUAAAGUGUGUAAAGUGUAAAUGUGCAAAGGGAGAUUCAUAGCUGAAGUUCUUUUUAACAAGUAAAUAAUAAUAAUAAUUGCACUAAAAAGACCUUUUUUGACAUAAUUAACUGGAAUGUAACUUUUGCAUAAUGUGCAAAAGUUUGUUUUUUACAGAGUGGUACUUACCUUUAACAAAUUAUUAGUUUUGUAGUGGAAGUCGUGAAUCCAGGAAAAUCCGUAUGAUUUCUCGCUGUAAACAAUAAACUGAAAUAGCAGCCAAGGUUCAGCGUAUGGACUCCCUCCCACUUCACAACGCACAGAUAAAGGCUGUCAACAAAGGACGUCAUUAUGACGUAGAAUAUUCCAACACGUGGGCGAGUGCGCGCACACGUUGCGAACAGGUGUGAACACAGGAAAGCCGCGUGCACACCGGAAACUAUUUGCCCGUCGCAAAAACAAACAAACAAAAAAACUAUUUGCCGUCGCGCAUCGCUAUCAAGGUGUCAGCUGGUCACACUGUGGCUAUGCCAGGUUGCCUAGGUGACCAGCAGCUCAUAUGCCGAUCGCCUGUAUUCGUCGUUCUGUAUUCAUCGGCAGAGUCUUUGGUCGUUCACUUCUAGGUUAGUGUUGUUUAGUAUAUUAAUUGAAGCAAUCUCUUCACUUACGAAAAUUCACUAUGGUUUACUAUGGCCCGCUCACAGACAGCGGCUCGCCAAACAGCGGCUCCGCUCCGGACUCACAGCGGAUCCCCUUCAGCAAACGCGCCUUUUUUUUUCCAAAGUUACCGGCUGCUCACACAGAAAGCAGGGAGUGGACGGCAGCGCUUCUUUACGAGUUAAAGAACAACAAUGGAGCAGAAUCUGGAUGUUAUCUGAACGGACUCUAGGACAUAGAAAUGUCAUCAGUUUCUUUCAGGUGGAUGUGACCAUGGAGGAGCCACAAAGGAGGAGGAGCUUUGAUACCAGGUCAGUUGUGAGCCACAGGGGUCGUCAUCUUUUUUUAUUGUUUAAGUUUUAAAGUGUUGUUGCUCGUGUGUUAACUAAUCUUAAGGAGGAGCUGUCUGUAGUGAGGGCAGUGAGUCUGUGUUACCUCGCUUGUAUCUUUCUGACUUUUGACAAACAGAAAUGUAUUUCAUGCUUGAUUAAAUUAAGCUUUUUAAAAUUGCAUUAACACUGCCCAUUUUACUGUGUGAUUGGCUGGAAUAUGGGUUGUUAUAUUUGUUUGUUUGCUUGUUAUAACAUAAAAUAACUUUU